rnacentral:rRNA from 1 species
AUUGAACGCUGGCGGCAGGCCUAACACAUGCAAGUCGAGCGGAGCGGCGGUCGGGUGAGUAAUGCCUAGGUAUCUGCCUGGUAGUGGGGGAUAACGACCGGAAACGGGAGCUAAUACCGAAUACUAUCAGAAGAGCCUAGGUCGGAUUAGCUAGUGGGUGGGGUAAAGGCCGACCAAGGCGCCGAUCCUGAACUGGUCUGAGAGGAUGAUCAGUCACACUGGAACUGAGACACGGUCCAGACUCCUACGGGAGGCAGCAGUGGGGAAUAUUGGACAAUGGGCGAAAGCCUGAUGCAGCCAUGCCGCGUGUGUGAAGAAGGUCUUCGGAUUGUAAAGCACUUUAAGUUGGGAGGCGUUACCAACAGAAUAAGCACCGGCUAACUUCGUGCCAGCAGCCGCGGUAAUAC